rnacentral:snoRNA from 1 species
UAUCCGUGAUGAAUGUAACAUGACAAGCACAUUACUGAAUUCUAAGUGAUGUCAUCUUACCAGUGAGGAA